rnacentral:rRNA from 1 species
GAAUUCGCCCUUAGAGUUUGAUCCUGGCUCAGGACGAACGCUGGCGGCGCGCCUAACACAUGCAAGUCGAACGAGAGAUGAGGAGCUUGCUCUUCAAAUCGAGUGGCGAACGGGUGAGUAACGCGUGAGGAACCUGCCUCAAAGAGGGGGACAACAGUUGGAAACGACUGCUAAUACCGCAUAAGCCCACAGCUCGGCAUCGAGCAGAGGGAAAAGGAGCAAUCCGCUUUGAGAUGGCCUCGCGUCCGAUUAGCUAGUUGGUGAGGUAACGGCCCACCAAGGCGACGAUCGGUAGCCGGACUGAGAGGUUGAACGGCCACAUUGGGACUGAGACACGGCCCAGACUCCUACGGGAGGCAGCAGUGGGGAAUAUUGCACAAUGGGGGAAACCCUGAUGCAGCGACGCCGCGUGGAGGAAGAAGGUCUUCGGAUUGUAAACUCCUGUUGUUGAGGAAGAUAAUGACGGUACUCAACAAGGAAGUGACGGCUAACUACGUGCCAGCAGCCGCGGUAAAACGUAGGUCACAAGCGUUGUCCGGAAUUACUGGGUGUAAAGGGAGCGCAGGCGGGAGAACAAGUUGGAAGUGAAAUCCAUGGGCUCAACCCAUGAACUGCUUUCAAAACUGUUUUUCUUGAGUAGUGCAGAGGUAGGCGGAAUUCCCGGUGUAGCGGUGGAAUGCGUAGAUAUCGGGAGGAACACCAGUGGCGAAGGCGGCCUACUGGGCACCAACUGACGCUGAGGCUCGAAAGUGUGGGUAGCAAACCAGGAUUAGAUACCCUGGUAGUCCACACCGUAAACGAUGAUU